rnacentral:lncRNA from 15 species
GCUGAAGCCGUCCACCUGCCAGCCAGCUCCCUGCCUCUCCGGCCCGCUUCUGUUCCAGUUUUGUUUUGGAUUACUAUCCUCAACAGGAUUCUUGCCAGACAAGAAAGCAAACAACAGACGUCGCCGCUAUCAGCAGUUGGCUUGUUGUUUGGGGGUUCUUUGUGUCAUUUUGCUGUUGGGCGUCAUAGCAGUCUGCAUCUACCGUAAGUAUACAGAACAGGAAGUCCGUGCAUUAACUCUAUUAUCUAUAGGCAGUUUGUUUUAUUCACAUAAUCUGCCUCAAAUUGUUGUUUUUUUUUAUUUUUUAGGAACAGAGUUAAUUUCUAGAAACAAAAUCUGAUGUAGAAAUGUCUGCAGAGAGUAAAGGAUUCAUAAGACCGGGUUCUUAUUUACAUGAUUUCUAUUUUCAAUGUGCAACCAUUUAUUCUUGGAGAAGCCCACUGAAUCACACUGUAAAGCAUGUUGUUGUGUUGUUGUGUUGUUGUUGUAUGUUAUCUUAAUGACUUUUAUUCCCAUGUUUUAUAGCUUUGUGGUUAUUUAACCAAAAUGAAACAAAAUGAACACAUAUAAAUUUAAUGUUUAUUUUUUUUCCCACUUAAAUUUGACUUCAGAAUAAAGCCUUUUAUCGAUCAUAUAGUCGAUUGAAUAUGUGAAUUCAUUUGAAGCCACAUAACAGCAGUGAAAGGUUGGUGACAGAAUUAGUAGAAACAGGAAGGCAUUAAAGGAUAAGUUAAAUUGUAUUAUAUAUUUCUUCUUAUUGCGAACAUAUCCCAUGAUCAGACCCAAACCAACACAGCACUGAUCCUUGGAGCUCCAAUGUUAUCUGUCAGCUAUUAAAAACACAUCAGUGAGCCAACCUUUUGCUUCAAUUCAUUUUUAUUUGUAUAGCACCAAUUCAUAACCGAAGUUAUCUCAGGACACUUUUCAAAUAGAGCAGGUCUAGACCGAACACCUUUUAUAGCAUUAUUUACAGAGACCCAACAGUACCACCAUGAGCAAGCACCUUGGAGACAAGGGGCAAGGAAGAGAGGAGCUCAGUGCACCAUGGGAAAUCCCCCGAUAGUCUAGGCC